rnacentral:tRNA from 1 species
AUAAUGAAAUUUAUAGUAUGAGGAAAAUCCGUCGACUUUAUAAAUCGUGA